UUCUUUCAGCAUUGACAGAUCUAGCUGAGAGACAGGACACAAAUGAACAAGGAGAAGGGCAAGCCUGUGGGGAGGUCAAGGAAGACUGCACUUAGGACGUGUGACCUAAACAUGAUCUUGCAGAAUGGGCUUCUCUGGUAAAGGGACAUUCUUCAUAGAAAAAAGAUGUGUCUGUGAGAAGUGCGUAAGAGGCGAAGAACGGCAAGUAUGUACUUAUUGGCCCUGGAUGGAAAAUAGCCAAAGCAACAAAACUGAAAUAAAACAAGCAAUUCAAGAUAUGUCACAGAACUUAUGAGAAAUUGAGAAUAGAAAAAACUUGAAUCUACUGAAUGAAAGAGACUCAUAUUGUAAGGGAAAAGAUUGACACAUGUCAACUACAGAACAGACCCUAGUAAGUAACUGGUAUUCAGUAUAAGGACAAAAGGGUGUUUGGUUACCAAAGGUAAAGGAAAGCAAACACAAAAACUUAAUGCCCCCCCCCAAGAAAAACAAAAACAAGACAAGACAACUAAAAGAGGAAAAUCACAAACUGGCCUGACACAUUAACAUGCAGAAAAUUAAUGGAGCAAAGCUCUCAUAGAAAGAAUAACACAUAAAUUGUAUCCCCCUAAGUAUAAUAUUAAAGCAGAAAGGGGGUAAAUAAACAUUUCCCACAUUCGACAAUCAGCUGGUCUUGAAGACUUUACUAAAGGGCAACUUCAGACAACCAAGAUCUAAGAGAGAAAACUACAGCAGAGGAUGGGUGAGGACAGCAGAACACGGAUACCUGUAAGACUGAGAUAGAAGGGAUGCAGGGAGGCCAGCGGAGGAGAGGACCCGUGAGCUCUAAAGACUUCAUUAAUGAGAAUGGGCUGGGAGUGGGGAUAUGGCAGGGCUCAUGAAUGCACACUAUUUUCUUCAUGUUUCCUCUGAGGAGCUUCACAAAAUAUUUAAGUCCAACAGAAUUACAUGUUAAGAUAGUAAAGCGAAUACUAGAAAUGCUAUAAUAAAUCAAAGCUGCACGGUAGAAGAAUCUGAGGGGUGAGAAGAAACUGAAAUGCAUGGGAACACAUUAAUUUUACAAUUGCUCACAUGAGGGUAUCAAUGGACAUAGUCCACCAACGGAAGAGUUGGUAUGUUACAGAAAGUUAUACUCAGAAAGACAAGGAGAACUAAAACACAAAUAUUAAAGACUAUCAAAGGAAUCUAUCAGAAGGCAAAGGAAACAGACCAUAACGAGAGCUAAGAAAAAGUGGUUACAAUUACACAGGCACUGUCAUCACUAAGGCACAUGAGUUGUAUGUACCCGUGCAAAUGGCUAAAGUCACAGCCCAGAAGGGAAGGGCUGCUUAAUACGGGUGGCUAACCAGUCUACAUGUGUACCUGCAGCCUGCUGUCAUUCCUCUACUUAUGGUAAUCCUGACCAGCUUGCAGCUGCAAAUGCUUAUCUUCAAGUUAAUGGCCUUUUGCAUUUCUCCGGGUGUUGUUAGUCUUUUUUUCUUAUUUCUUGAUAGUAAAAACUCCUGCACCCAGCCCCACACCCCAAGCUGCCACCCAAUCAGGGCUCACCAGGCCCAAGCCUGGUUCUGCAUUCCCUGCUGACUAUGUGGCCUUCUACCACCCUCCAGGAGGCCUUUCCAGGUGACCCUAAAUAAAGCGCCAACACCUUCCCCUGCCACACUCAAAGCCAUUUCUACCCAAGGCACCUGUCAUAAUCUAGAAUGCUUGUAGAGAGGUAAACAGAUGACAGUGGAAGAGAGAAGGAUAGAAAACCCUCAUGCACCACUAAGUUCCAGGAACUGUUUCAGGCAUUAUUCUAUAGCUAUAAUUAGCAAAUGUGAUCCUCCCAGAAAUCCACAGGGUGGAUGUUGCCAUUAUAUUCUUUUUAUGGGCAAAUGGGGCACAGCUCAAGGUUACACAGUGAAGAAUGGCAAAUCACAGUCUGAGAAAUGCUGGCUGCUGGGCUCCAGUCUUACUGGCCCCUGGAUGUGCACAUCAAUGCAGAUCCUCUCCCCUCUUCCACUCCAACUGGUGCCAGUGAGGCAGGAACUCUGCGGUGUUCAUGAUCUAUCAACCCCAGGUGCAGAGCAGAGGACUCAGAUGUGCUGCACAAUGAAUAAAACUUCACUGAGUGGUGAAACUUCGUAUCUCUUUCAAAUGAAACAAAAUGUUGCUGAUUUUUAAAAAAUACUUGUACUACAAUAGGAAAAGAACUGUUUCGGGAGAACUUUAAAAAUCUGGUUAUCCACCUGCAGAGUUGCAGAAAACUUAUGCAACACAAGGGAAAAAGGUGAUCAUUUCAAGUUUGAGGUAAUGUUUCCCAGAGACAAUACUGUCAUGGUUCAUCUUAUGUACAGUGCUAGCAUUAAGGAAAAGGCGAGCAGCCUGGAAAAUUCACAAAUCACAUGUGCUUCUGCUUGUCAAAAACUCCAGUAAGGAGAAAGAAAAGAACAGUGAAUGGGGAUUCUAAGAAGGGGGAUCCUGUGAAAAAGAAUCAGCUGAGAAAUAAUUAAGAGUGAUUUUAGCUGAGGCUGGAUUCGUUCAGUUUGGCAACACAUUCUGACCUUUGCCCUUCUACUUUGAGGGUAACGUCUCCAACUGGGUCAAGGCCAAGAGGUGCCUGCCGGUUUGGUUUUGUCCUGUGGGACAUCCACACUGGGCACUGAGGUGGCUCUUAGAUCCUUGUAUCUGCGGCACAAGGCAGAGGUCACAGCUGUUGGACGUGGGAGUCAUCAGAACACAGAGAUGCUACUCAAAGCUAAGGGAUCGCUAAGGAGGUGAGUCUAGAUUCAGAGAGAAGCAGACCAAGGACAAGCAACUUGGAAGCAUCAAGCAUAGGGCUAGCACGAUAUGCUUUGCAGUGCAUGUAUUCAAUAAAUACUUGUGAAGGAGACGAGAGAGACACUGACCUGCCAAGACUUGGAGAAACAACCCUGAGCUUCUGGCUUUAAAUCAAACUGAAAUGGAGUUUUUUUAAGUUUCAGAGAUUUCCUCUUUUAUUUCCUCUUUCAAGUUGGUUUUUGAGUUGCUAGCUACUUUUCCUGUACUUUCCUUGACUUCAAAAAUCCAUGCAAAUACCAGGCAAGGUGCCACACACAGGUAAUCCUAACAGUAUGAAAGGCUGAGUCAGGAGGGUCCUAAUUUCAAGCCCCCCCUGGGUAAUUUAGUAAUUCAGUGAGACCCUGUCUCAAAAUAAUGAUGAUGAUGAUGAUGAUGAUGAUGAUGAUGAUGAUGAAGAUGAAGAUGAAGACAAUGGGCUGGGGGUGUAGCUCAGUGUGAAGGCCCUGGGUUCAAUCCCCAGUACUGCAAAAAGAGAAAAAUCCAUGCAACUGAGUUGUUGAAAGACUGCUACACACCGCACCCAAACCUACAAACAUGAAAGUGUUCAUUUAGCACUCUGAUUUCCAAAGACAUAAUGGUAAGGUCAAGCAUGAGGGAGCAGAACCUAAGAACAAAAUAGUGUCUCUACCAUCAGUGUACACUGGAACUGGAAAGGAUACAGAUCUAUUCUGGUUUAGUAGGCGACGGCUCCUAAAGGGUUGUGUGCUAGAGGUGUAGAUGCAGACCCUGAAGCGACAAAGGUGCACAGGACAGUGAGGAACAGAACUGGGAGGUUGGCAGACUAGAAGCCUGGGGCUGCCAGAGGCCAAGCACAUACUUAGUUAGGUCUGAGCAAACUCAGACAGUGUCUAAGUGCAGGUUUCCUGUGGGAAACAGUUUGCCAUACAACUGAGAAUAGAAUGAUGGAAGACCAGAGCGGAGAAACUCACGGUUGGAUUUGUUGCCCAUGCACGUGCAGGCAGGCACACAGGUGGGGCCGGCCCCUUGUCCGAGAGUCAUCUUUGCUUUCCCCCCAUUUUUUGAUCAGUGUUGUACUUCCUCUCGGUACCUAGUAGAAGUCACAAAACUCAAAACCUCCAAAGAAGCUCCCUCUGCCUGCCUACAAAUGUUAAGUUCCAUCUCUUUCUGUAGCAGUCAGAGUUCUGGAAGCCAAGGGUUUGUGACUUGCCCAUUGGAGGCCGAGGCCAGCAGUGGAAAGAGCGGAAGACUUAGUGAGUUCUUCACUUUUCCAGAAUGAAAACCCUAGAGAUUCUUAAUUUAGUGGUGAUUUUCAUUUUCAAGUUAGACAAGUCACUUUGGACAGAAAUAGAACACAGCUUUAAUAAGUUACCUUGAAGUCAAAGACUAUUAGACGCUUGGCUUUGAACAACCUCAGACUCCAGCCCAAGACCUAAUUAUGUGGAGACAGCUCUGUUUGUGAAAUGUUCGAUAUGAUGGAAGAAUCUGAGGGCCACGGGAGCCCCCGGAAGGGCCACGGACCCAUGACACCUCAUUCUGCAGCAGAGCGCUGGGCCGUCCCAAGGACCGGGCGUGAAAGGGGACGGGGUCCUAGCUUGGAACCUUCACGGCCUGGGAAACGCCUUCUUCACUUUCCCAGCAGGCAGCCGGCUUCACUCACACCAUCCUCUUCCUCCUCCUCCCACUGCCUGCACUUUCUACACUCACCUGAAUGAAGAUAUACUCAUCCUGGACAACCAGGGAGCUGAUGUCAAUGGAGCGGGCAAAGGGGCCACUCCGAGUGGUCUCGGCACACUCCUGGAUCCUGCAGGUGAGCUGACUAGCUCCCACCCCCCAAGCAGCCCAGAAAAGUUUAUGGCAGCAACAGAUGCAGAGCAGGAGAUGACUGACUCUGAAAGGUACUCUGACUCCAACUGCAGGGCGCUCCAGGAGAGACAAUCUCUCCAGCGAUUUGCUCCUUCAAGAAAACUACAGGAAACAGAUUCCGCGUGAGCUGUGCACCCCCUCCAGGAAAGUUCAGGCGUGAGCUGUGGUCCAUUUGCACUGGUGACCCUGAGCCUAAUACGCCCGUGUCGGUUGAUCGCGUUUCCAGCAGCAGCAGCCCUAGCACCUGCCCACGCCCCUUCACUUUUCCUCCUUCCAAAUCCCGGACAUCACAGCUCUGUCCCCGAGGUACUUCCAGGUUCCUCUUCCGUGCCACUUGCUUGGGACUCGACUUCUCAUCUGCACUGCCUGCUGCACCCACUUCACGAACAGAGCUCCUAUGGAUUUAGUUGGGAAACUCAACGGACGGGGGCAAACAGCCAGGCAUCUCUGAAGCUGAAGCCUCACCGACUUCCUCCAGGUGUCAGAACCACUGGCAGCUUUGAGCAACCUCCUCCAGGCCUAAACACCUUUCCAUGGAAUCGAAGGCCUCAGACAGCCCGUCUCAUAAACCGCAACAGCUAAAGUACAGGAAUGAAGAGAUCGCAUUGCAGGUCCUAAGGCAAAGUCUUACUCUGAGCUUCUACAGGAUCGUUGUUUACUUUCUUUAAGCACUGCAGGUGUUCAGGUAGGAAAAAAGUGUGUCUGAGCUGGAAGAGUCAAGAAGGAAGUCGAGGAAGAGGCCACCACUGAGGUUAGCCUGGCGAGAAAGGGUGCAGUGUGUGGGAAGAAUUCGGGCAAAGGGAGUGAAAACGCAUGUGGCCUUCUACACAAGCAAAGUGCGUGGAGCAUGUGGCGUUAAGAACCUGCUAACGGACUCAGUCUGCACGAUAUGCAUUCUUGGACUUCUGUUUUCUCUCCUAUCCUCUGAAACAUUCUCCAAUAAAACCCUAGAAAGACCAGAGUGUAGAUCUCACUCACAUGUCCCUUGAAGAGAAACCAGGGAGAGAUUUACCAAGUGCUUAAGCCUUAUGCUUAACGUAUUUUAGAUGUAAAAAGUCUUUCUAAUGGAUUUGUAAGAGCUAGUGUGGUGCCUGCUGCUCUCACAAAAACUAAAAGUCAGCCUUCGUUCCCUGCACCGGGGAUCAAGGGACCGGUCUCUUAACUCUGAAAAUAUCAGGCCCUGUUGCAAAGAGGCUCUGGUGUAGCAGGGUGUUUAGGGAAGGUGGUCGCACUUCCCAAGGGAGGUCAGUCUCCAAGCUUUCUCACCCUCCAGGUGGCAGACAGGGGUCUCUCAGGGCGGGAGGAGGCAGAUGGAGCCAUUCAUUCCUUUCCCUUUGGGUCCUGGUGACUAGAGAACCUGCAGGUGUCAGACGCUACUGCCAAGGCACAAAUGAAUGUGCCUUGGGAUUCAGGCUGGAGAGAGGAUCCUCAAGGACGUAGAGAAUGUGGACAGAGUGACCAAGAUAACCCGACAGCCUCUACCUUCAUUUUCUCCCAAGGGCUGGCGUUCCUACUAGAGGAUGUCUAGGGCUUGGGCAAGCAGUUUCUAACUUGUUCCAUGGAGCAAGGCAAACUUCUCAUCCCCUUCAACAAAACUUCACCAGAAGUCCGGGUUUGGGCUUUGUCAAUCCUUUAAGAAAGGUUACACCCUUAACAGUAGGGAUGGCGAUCUUUUCCUCUCCUCAGGCUGACUUGAAGGCCCAGCAAAUGCUAGUUAAGCUGAAUUGAAUGACAUUAAAAGUUUUGUCAUGCUGAAUUAGAGUAAAUUGUUAUUAUGUCAUGCUUUUGAGAUUACUAAAUAUGCAAACUUCCUAGACAUCAUGCUUUUCUCCACCCCAGACAAAACAACUUUCCAUGAUUCGCCCACUUCUGUCCCUUUGGGUAAUGUACACAGUGUGAGGAAUUGAAAGAAAUGAAUUAAAAUUGUGAACAAAAAGCAAAUUCAGCUCUUCAGCUCUGUUCUUAGAGAAACACCCAGGAGCUAUUUAUUUUAAAUAACAGCAUUAACUCCCAAAUGCAAAUAUGUAAAAAGCAGAUUCAAGGUAACUAACUCUAAAAAGUUUGCUUCCAUAAGCCUCUUUUUCCUUGACUGGGAAGUAAGGCUUUUCUUUCAGCAGAUCCAGAGCAAGCAAAGAAAGUGGCCCUGUCUAGGAUAGCCCCUGAGGCAGAGAUGAUACUAAAAGCAAGCAAAAUUGACAAAAGUGGGAGUUUCCGUUCCUUUUACUAGGCUUAUGCACUUAAAGUUUUUGUGAAGCUUUUAAUAUCUUAUAGGAGAAUUUCAACAUUGUCUGUGCUUUUAAGGCACAGGGAACAAUCUGUCAGGUGUGUGGAUAUUUAGAAAUCAUGAAAACAUUGAAUACCUUAGGAGUCUUGAAACUAGUCAAGGCUCUUACUACUCCACCUGCCAAAUAAUUUGACCCUUAAGAUGACAACUGGAUGAAGAGGAGGAGGAGAAGGAGGAGUAGCAGGAGGAGCAUGAGAAGGAAGAGGAGCAUCAUGACAAGGACAAAAGUAAUAUUUUCAAAUGCUCAAACUGUGUCUGCUGGUAUUGUAGGAACUACAUGCCCUGACUUAUUACACUCCUGCAGCAACCCACAAAGGAGCUAUAAUUAUCAUCCCUGUGUUGUAAAUGAGGCACAAAAUCAUUAAGUAAUUUGCCUAAGUUCUGUAGCUCUAGAAAGUGACAGAGCUGGGAUUUGAACCUGGGCAACUGGCACCCAAUCCUGAUCGUAACCAUUACAUACAUGAAACAUGGAAGGAAAAGCAGGCUGAGAAUUAAACUGGAGCCCACACUCACCAGCUGACUAAGGCAUCCUAAGCAUGUUGAUAUCUGCGUUGAUACUGCUAGGGAAAUGAGGCAUUUUGGAGAACCAUUACCCACUCCAACUUUAAAAAUGCUUUGGAGUCUUUUCAUGAGAGAGAAUUGUAUGCCCUCCAUACACAAAGACUUUGGUGCGUCUACUCUGACUGAAUGGAAGGCAAGCAGUCUGCGGUUCCGCUGAGUUUGCUUCACUGCAUCUUCAUUUUGGCCUCUGAGCUCAUAGAGAGCUGCUAGAGCUCUGAGUACACAAAUCCCUGAACUGAUCAAUAUCCCAGUCCU